CAUCAUUAUCUCCUUUCAGACAGUAUAUUAUGACCUUUAUGCACUGGGCCUUCACAUCUCCAGCACUGGGCCCUUUCAUCUCCAGCGCUGGGCCCUUUCAUCUCCAGCACUGGGCCUUUACAUCUCCAGCGCUGGACCUUUACUUGUCCAGCACUGGGCCUUUACAUCUCCAGUGCUGGGCCCUUACAUCUCCAGAGCUGGGCCCUUUCAUCUCCAGCGCUGGGCCCUUUCAUCUCCAGCGCCGGGCCCUUAACAUCUCCAGCGCCGGGCCCUUUCAUCUCCAGCGCCGGGCCCUUACAUCUCCAGCGCCGGGCCCUUAACAUCUCCAGCGCCGGGCUCUUUCAUCUCCAGCGCCGGGCCCUUACAUCUCCAGCGCCGGGCCCUUACAUCUCCAGCGCCGGGCCCUUUCAUCUCCAGCGCCGGGCCCUUUCAUCUCCAGCGCCGGGCCCUUAACAUCUCCAGCGCCGGGCCCUUUCAUCUCCAGCGCCGGGCCCUUAACAUCUCCAGCGCCGGGCCCUUAACAUCUCCAGCGCCGGGCCCUUAACAUCUCCAGCGCCGGGCCCUUAACAUCUCCAGCGCCGGGCCCUUUCAUCUCCAGCGCCGGGCCUUUACAUCUCCAGCGCCGGGCCUUUACAUCUCCAGAGCUGGGCCUUUACAUCUCCAGGGCUGGGCCCUUAAAUCUCCAGCACUGGGCCUUUAUAUCUCCAGCGCUGGGCCCUUCACAACUCCAGCGCUGGGCCCUUCACAUCUCCAGCGCUGGGCCCUUCACGUCUCCAGCGCUGGGUCCUUCACAUCUCCAGCACUGGGCCUUCACAUCUCCAGGGCUGGGCCCUUAAAUCUCCAGCACUGGGCCUUUAUAUCUCCAGCAGCAAUAUAAAGCCGAGGACCCAGCAAGUGUUCACCUCUGGAGAAUUUGAUGAAUUCUAUGCAUCUGAAAGGCCUCCGAUGCUUAAGACCUUUUUUUUCUUUUCAAGUCUCGAACAUUUAUUGAACACGUAUAUGUGCCAAGCGCUAUUCUCAAACUGCCCCAUGAGGAAUGGACCACAGAGCUCCAUUUUACAGAUGGGGAAACUGAGAUGGGAGGAUGAGCCUGAGACCACACAGGAAGCAAAGCCUACAGCUUCCAAGAUGAAGCAUGGAAUUCCAGACUGAGGGGCUUUACAAGUUCAUCUCUCUCCCUACAUCCAACUCAGUCUGCUCCUACAACAGAUCCCACUGCCAGAGAGACAGUAAACAGGCACUUUUACUUACCACAAAGAGAGGCAUGGACCUUACUUUGGUGAAGCAACUGGGGGCUCUUCGUAGACAGUUUGGA
rnacentral:lncRNA from 1 species